CCAACAGAACUGUGAAGGAGAAGGAGGACCUGACUUGACAGGGACAGGACUGACAGAUUGAUAGCUUUUUCUUGAAUCUGUGAGUGAUGGUAGAUGGCAAUUCUUAGUUGGUAAGAUAAUUUGCCUGGUUAUUUUCUAUUAAGAACAAAACUCUGGUGUGAUAACUAGUUACACAACCCCCAAGCAGUCAGUGACCCCCACAACUUCUCAGCCACUUGAGAUUGAGCAAUAACAGCUUUGCCAUGCCCUUACAUAUCCUGAGCUGCAAGUGUGCUGCACUGAUUGGGGAAGCAUGCCUGCCCAUUGCUGGAAGAUGCUAAUAACCUGUUGAAUGUCAUGUGACAGGAAUUGGUGAUUACAAUUAUUUCCCAUGAACAAGGAAUUCCCAGUAAGUGUAAGUCAUAAGCUUGCCUUAAUAAAGUCCC
rnacentral:ncRNA from 1 species